UUCUCUUGAGAGCGGCGGACGGGUGAGUAAUGCCUAGGAAUCUGCCUGGUAGUGGGGGAUAACGUUCGGAAACGAACGCUAAUACCGCAUACGUCCUACGGGAGAAAGCAGGGGACCUUCGGGCCUUGCGCUAUCAGAUGAGCCUAGGUCGGAUUACCUAGUUGGUGAGGUAAUGGCUCACCAAGGCGACGAUCCGUAACUGGUCUGAGAGGAUGAUCACUCACACUGGAACUGAGACACGGUCCAGACUCCUACGGGAGGCAGCAGUGGGGAAUAUUGGACAAUGGGCGAAAGCCUGAUCCAGCAAUGCCGCGUGUGUGAAGAAGGUCUUCGGAUUGUAAAGCACUUUAAGUUGGGAGGAAGGGCAGUUACCUAAUACGUGAUUGUUUUGACGUUACCGACAGAAUAAGCACCGGCUAACUCUGUGCCAGCAGCCGCGGUAAUACAGAGGGUGCAAGCGUUAAUCGGAAUUACUGGGCGUAAAGCGCGCGUACGUGGUUUGUUAAGUUGGAUGUGAAAUCCCCGGGCUCAACCUGGGAACUGCAUUCAAAACUGAGUGACUAUAGUAUGGUAGAGGGUG
rnacentral:rRNA from 1 species